ensembl:lncRNA
CUCACAUUCUCUGUUAUGCUGCUUUAGUUCAGACUUCUGUUCAGCAGACCUAGAACUUUCCUGCUUCUGCAAAUCAAGAUUUUAUUAGGCUGCCCAUUUACUUUGGUCUUGGAGCACCAUAAUUGGUUGAUCGAUCAAUCAAUUACUAAUAAUUCCAUUCCCCUGCAUUCCACCCUCCACAACUGGAGAACAAUAGUGAGGUGGUGAGGUGGGUGAGCAGAAAUUAAAUAAAUUCAUUCAGAGAAUUCCCUGGUGGUGCAGUGGUUAGGACCCCACACUGUUACUGCUGACGGUCUGGGUUCGAUCCCUGGUGGGGAAUCCUGCAAGUCAAAUGGCACGGCGAAAAAAAAAAAAAAAGUCCACUCAGCAUUUGAGCAACCUUUGGAAUCUUUUGGACCCUUCCUUCUACACUGUACUAAAGGAAUCCUGGCCUCUCAGCUUCACUCAGUGAAGGCUACCUUGGGACCAGCCUUCGAUGAAUCAACUGAGCAACCCUUUAGAGCAAGCCCCAGGCCAUGUUACAGCCACUCCCCACUGGUCCCUUAGCAUCCCCAGAUGGGAUCGUCUAGUUGCAGAAAACAAGCUCAGGGCUUCCACUGAUUCUGCAUUUGGUGAGCUGUGUAAUUAUUUCACUAUAGAUCACAAUGUAAUAAUAACAGAAAUAAAGUGCACAAUAAAUGGCACGUGCGUGAAUCAUCCUGAAACCAUCCCCACCCCCAGUCCAUGGAAAACGGUCUUCCAUGAAACCCAUCCCUGGUCCAAAAAGGCUGGGGACCACUGUUUUAGAGCCAUCCCCAGCUGUCUGAGCUACCAGGAGGAAUGCAGGAUCUAUGAUUAACGCAUCCACUCACUUCAACACGUGAUACUCCUUUCAUCAUAAUGCGCUGCUUAGUGUCCAUUCCCAGACACAUUUCCCUGUUCAUACACGCUGGAGACAUCUUGCAGCUCUUUGGUGUGUACUGUGCCUUCUCCGGGCUUCCCAGGUGGCGCAGUGGUAAGGAAUCUGCCUGCCAACGCAGGAGUCACAGAAGACACAAGUUCGAUCCCUGGGUCAGAAGAUCCCCUGAAGGAGGAAAUGGCAACCCACUCCAGUAUUCUUGCCUGGGAAAUCCCAUGGACAGAGAGGAGCCUGACAGGCUCCAGUCAUGGGGUCACAAAGCGUCAGGCACAACUAAGCAACUGAGCAUGCGCGCUCCGUUGCGCAUGCUCACACACACACGCUUCCUCAUGGGUCACACUGUGUGCCUGAUACCCUGAAACUUGCCGGGUCUUAAGUCUGAGAAGUGUUAUGCCUUGGCCACUAGAGUUUCUCUAGGCACAAAGAGAACCUCUGACUCUUUACUCAGACUUUGGGAAUUGAAGCCCUUGAGCUCAUCUUUCACCCUUUUUUGGUGCACUUAGAAGCAAAGGAGCAGCCCCAUGGUCCUGAUGCUCUUUAUUUCCAGGUAUGCUCUAUGCCAGCAGCUGCUUGGUCAACCAGAGCCUUCUACAGGCCAUCACCCCAAUGGUCAAAAGGUGAUCACUUAAGUGACAGCUUCACAUUGCAUGCCGUGGACCACUAAUGUCCCCUUUACCCCAGCAGCCAGGUCCCUAAAAUGCCCCUAAAUCGACAGAUUAGAUCGUCGAUGCCAGCCUCCCCUCCUUACAGUUCUGCUCCAUUGGAAGCAUCACCAUCGCCAAUCACUGUAUCAGGCAGCGCUGGGUCGGGAGGCAGAGCCCUGCCAGGCUUCCCCAGUCCAAGCAUCUCCCCACACCUGCCCGAUGGCUGCCUCGCCUCCCCCAGCAGACUGUGAGCUCUGAGAUGCUGGGCUGAGUCUCCCAACUCAUCACGGUGCAACCAGCACUUGGCACAAGCUUGGAACAGAGCGGCGUUCAAUAUACAUUUGUAAAUGGGUGGUGCUAGUGGUAAAGAACCCCCUUGCCAAGCCAGUGCAGGAGACAUAAGCGACAUGGGUUCGAUCCUUGGGUCAGGAAGAUGUCCUGCUGGAGGAAAUGGCAACCCACUCCAGUCUUGCCUGGAGAAUCCCAUGGACAGAGGAGCCUAGAGGGCUACAAUCCAUGGGGUCGCAAAGAGUUGUACACAACUGAAGCAAUUUAGCACAAAUAUAUAUAUUUAUAUAUAAAUGCUAUAUAUUUUAAUACAUGUAAUUUAUAAUAUAUGAUACAUAUAGAGAGAGAGAGAAAAAGAGAGAGAGAGUGAGAAUGAGGGAGACAGAGACAGAAGCCCAGAGAGAGAAACAGAGAUAAGUGGGCAAAGUAUGAACUGUGGUUGAAUCUUGCUGGAGGGCAUGCAGGAGUUCAGUGUGCAGUCCUUUCAGCUUUCCUGUUUUGAAAGCUCAUAAUAAAAAUUGGAAAGAAAAAACAUCAUCC